rnacentral:rRNA from 1 species
UUUCUAUGGAGAGUUUGAUCCUGGCUCAGGACGAACGCUGGCGGCGUGCCUAAUACAUGCAAGUCGAGCGGACGAUUCAAAAGCUUGCUUUUGAAUCGUUAGCGGCGGACGGGUGAGUAACACGUGGGCAACCUGCCCUGUAGACGGGGAUAACACCGAGAAAUCGGUGCUAAUACCGGAUAACACGAAAUGUCGCAUGACGUUUCGUUGAAAGGCGGCGCAAGCUGCCGCUACAGGAUGGGCUCGCGGCGCAUUAGCUAGUUGGU